rnacentral:lncRNA from 1 species
AUAUAAUAAAAGCUACCACCUGCAGUUCUCACAGCAGUAGAAUUCCAAAUCAGCCGCUGCAAAAUCAGCAACAGCAGCUGUAACCUGGUUUUUAGAGAAGUUGAAAUCAAUUUUCACAGACACAUUUUAUGAACUCUCCAUGAGCCCAUAAGAGGGGACUGAUGGACAAAUAUGAAUAUACCAUAAGUAGGUACCCAGAAGUUGAAGUCGUUUUCAAGAGUUGUAAAUGGCCUGAGAUUUUAACCAACUUGCAAGCUAACAAAUUUGGGUGCCAGAGUCUCAUGGAUAUUGGUGACUAACAUCCAUUGGUCAGAGAUGAAGAGAAGUUAAUUACUCAUGGAAAUUACAGUUGCCAGAGUGUCAACAUAUUUUACUAAUUGCCCAAGCCCAGAUGUUCCCAGGACAAUGACAAGAGGAUCAGAUGACACCAUCACCCACAAUGAGUUCCAUUGCAAGAAAGGAACCCUCAGCUCUGGGAACCCUGAUAUUUUAUACUGGGCCUUAAACAUGGCUUUCCUUUGUUCUUGAAAAAUAUAUAUUUAUUAUACGAGACAAUAAACAUACCUGUCCUUUGCUGUGGAGAGAGUAAUUGAAGUACAUAUACAUGACAAAUAAAUUGUAUCUAGAAUAUAUAUUUUUAUUUAUUUGUUUAUUUUUGUUUUGUUUUGUUUGAGACAGAGUCUCGCUCUAUUGCCCAGGCU